GCCACCGUAGCUCAGUCGGAAGAGCGGCUGAUUUGUAAUCAGCAGGUCGGGGGUUCGAUUCCCUCCGGUGGCU
rnacentral:tRNA from 1 species